rnacentral:rRNA from 1 species
CCUACGGGAGGCAGCAGUCGAGAAUCAUUCACAAUGGGGGAAACCCUGAUGGUGCGACGCCGCGUGGGGGAAUGAAGGUCUUCGGAUUGUAAACCCCUGUCAUGUGGGAGCAAAUUAAAAAGAUAGUACCACAAGUGGAAGAGACGGCUAACUCUGUGCGAACAGCCGCGGUAAUACAGAGGUCUCAAGCGUUGUUAGGAAUCACUGGGCGUAAAGGGUGCGUAGGCUGUUGCGUAAGGCGUGUGUGAAAGGCGCGGGCUCAACCCGCGGACGGCACAUGAUACUGCGAGACUAGAGUAAGGGAGGGGGAACCGGAAUUCUCGGUGUAGCAGUGAAAUGCGUAGAUAUCGAGAGGAACACUCGUGGCGAAGGCGGGUUCCUGGACAUUAACUGACGCUGAGGCACGAAGGCCAGGGGAGCGAAAGGGAUUAGAUACCCUAGUAGUC